rnacentral:rRNA from 1 species
GACGAACGCUGGCGGCGUGCUUAACACAUGCAAGUCGAACGGACAGGCCCUGCUUUUGUGGGGUGCUCGAGUGGCGAACGCGUGAGUAACACGUGAUUAACCUGCCCUUACCUUUGGGAUAACUUCAUGAUACUGGGUCUAAUACCGGAUAGGAGCUCCUGCUGCAUGGUGGGUCUUGGAAAGUUUCGGCGGUUGGGUAUGGACUCGCGGCGUCUCAGCUUGUUGGUGGGGUAGUGGCUUACCAAGGCUUUGACGGGUAGCCGGCCUGAGAGGGGGACCGGACACGUUGGGACUGAGAUACGGCACAGACUAGUACGGGAGGCAGCAGUGGGGAAUAUUGCACAAUGGGCGGAAGCCUGAUGCAGCAAAGCCGCGUGGGGGAUGACGGCCUUCGGGUUGGAAACCGAUUUCGCCUGUGACGAAGCGUGAGUGACGGUAAUGGGGAAAGAAGCACCGGCUAACUACGUG